AUGUCUCUCAUCCCAGCUCUGUUCCUCCUCCUCCUCCUCGCCACCCUCGCCGCUUCCCAAGAAUUCACCUACACCGGCUUCGGCGCUGCCCGCAACGGCGGCGCCCCGAACCUCACCCUGAACGGCGUCACGGAGCUCCAGCCGGACGGCAUCAUGCGCCUCACCAACGACACCUCCCGGCUCAAGGGCCACGCCUUCUACCCGUCCCCGCUCCGCCUCCUCGGCCCGCCCGGCUCCGGUGCCAAGAACAACGCCACCGCGGCGGCGGUGUCCUUCUCCACGGCGUUCGCGUUCGCCGUCGUGCCCGAGUACCCCAGGCUCGGCGGCCACGGCUUCGCCUUCGUGGCCGCCCCCGACCCGCGCCUCCCGGGGGCGCUGCCCAGCCAGUACCUGGGCCUGGUCAGCGCCGACGACGACGGCAACGCCACCAACCACGUCUUCGCCGUCGAGUUCGACACGGUGCAGGACUUCGAGUUCGCCGACAUCAACGACAACCACGUCGGCGUCGACCUCAACAGCCUCACCUCCAACGCGUCCGCGUCCGCCGCGCCCAUCAACCUCAAGUCCGGAGACACCGUCCUCGCCUGGGUCGACUACGAUGGGGACCGGAGGCUCCUCAACGUCUCCAUCGCGACCUUGGCGGCGCCCGAGAAGCCGGCGGCGCCCCUCAUAUCCUUCCACGUCGACCUGUCCAUCGUCUUCCAGGAGCAGAUUUACGUCGGCUUCUCGGCGUCCACGGGGCUCCUUGCCAGCUCGCACUACCUCAUGGGGUGGACCUUCAAGCUGGGCGGCGGCGCCGCACCGCCGCUCGACCUGUCGUCCCUCCCAUCGCUGCCGAGGCCCAAGCCAGACAAGAAGAGCAGGACGACCCUGAUCCUCGCGUCGGUGUUCUCGGCGUUUGUGGCGCUGUUGGUGCUCGCCGGCGCGGGCGCCUACGCGGCAUACCGCAUCAAGAACCGCGAGGUCAUCGAGCCGUGGGAGCUGGACCACGGCCCGCACCGGUACAAGUACCCGGAGCUGAAGCGCGCCACGCGAGGGUUCCGCGAUCGCGAGCUCCUCGGCCGCGGCGGCUUCGGCAAGGUGUACCGCGGCGUGCUCCCUGGCACGCCCCCCACCGUGGUCGCCGUGAAGCGCGUGUCCCACGAUUCCCGGCAGGGGCUCCGGGAGUUCGUCGCCGAGAUCGCGUCCAUCGGCCGGCUCCGCCACCGCAACCUCGUGCAGCUCCAGGGCUGGUGCCGCCGCCGCGGCGACCUCCUCCUGGUCUACGACUUCAUGCCCAACGGCAGCCUGGACAUGCACCUCUUCGGCGACGGCCUCCGGGCGGCGCGGCUGACGUGGGGCGUCCGGUACAAGAUCCUCCGGAACGUGGCGUCGGCGCUGCUGUACCUGCACGAGGAGUGGGAGCACGUGGUGCUCCACCGCGACGUCAAGGCAAGCAACGUGCUCCUGGACGGCGACAUGGCGGGGCGGCUCGGCGACUUCGGGCUGGCCAAGCUGUACGAGCACGGCGCGAACCCGGCCACGACGCGGGUGGUGGGCACACUGGGGUACCUGGCGCCGGAGCUGACGCGGACGGGGAAGGCCACGACGGCGGCAGACGUGUUCGCGUUCGGGGCGCUGGUGCUGGAGGUGGUCGCCGGGCGGCGACCCAUCGAGCCGCGGGCGGGGCCGGAGGAGCUGGUGCUGGCGGAGUGGGCGUGGGAGCGGUACGCGGCGGGGGAGGUGGAGAAGGUGGUGGACGCGAGGCUGGGCGGGGCGUUCGACGCCGAGGAGGCGGCCGUGGCGGUGAAGCUGGGGCUGUGGUGCUCGCACCCGGUGCCGGUGGCGCGGCCGACGAUGAGGGAGGUGGCGAGGUACCUGGACAGCGGGGACGCCGCGGAUGUGCCGCCGCCGCCACCACCGCCCCCGCCGCCUCCGGUGUGCUCCGGCGAGGUUGGGUACGACGACUUCGUGCACUCGUUCCCGUCGUCGUCGUUCGAGAGGGCGGCGGCGGCCGGCGGAGGGGACCCGCUGUCGCAGACAUCGGUGGCCACAUUCCCCUUCUCGCCGCUGUCCAUGCGGUCAUCCCACGUCAGCGUAUGA
rnacentral:rRNA from 1 species